CAGAGAAUAUUUUAGUUGAGAAUCCUAGCUUUGGGGGCUAGGGGUAAGAGUUAGAAUCUCUUUUCUUUGA
rnacentral:tRNA from 1 species